rnacentral:tRNA from 1 species
GGGAAAGUACCCAAGCGGUGAAGGGGCCCCCCUGCUAAGGGGGUAGGUCGGUAAAACGGCGCGAGGGUUCAAUUCCCUCCUUUCCCG